AACGAACGCUGGCGGCAGGCCUAACACAUGCAAGUCGAGCGGCAGCACGGGUACUUGUACCUGGUGGCGAGCGGCGGACGGGUGAGUAAUGCCUAGGAAUCUGCCUGGUAGUGGGGGAUAACGCUCGGAAACGGACGCUAAUACCGCAUACGUCCUACGGGAGAAAGCAGGGGACCUUCGGGCCUUGCGCUAUCAGAUGAGCCUAGGUCGGAUUAGCUAGUUGGUGAGGUAAUGGCUCACCAAGGCGACGAUCCGUAACUGGUCUGAGAGGAUGAUCAGUCACACUGGAACUGAGACACGGUCCAGACUCCUACGGGAGGCAGCAGUGGGGAAUAUUGGACAAUGGGCGAAAGCCUGAUCCAGCCAUGCCGCGUGUGUGAAGAAGGUCUUCGGAUUGUAAAGCACUUUAAGUUGGGAGGAAGGGCAGUUACCUAAUACGUAUCUGUUUUGACGUUACCGACAGAAUAAGCACCGGCUAACUCUGUGCCAGCAGCCGCGGUAAUC
rnacentral:rRNA from 1 species